UCGUCCCGCUGUGCUCUAUGGCUUUUUAUUCCUAUCUGACGGCUCUGGAGGCUCAUAUAGGGAUGGAAGCCAUGCAGCACGGUGGGGCCC
rfam:Lepisosteus oculatus linkage group LG5, whole genome shotgun sequence.